AGUUCCGGGAGAGGCUGGAGCUCAUAACCCAGAAGUUCCAGGGGUUGCAGAGUGCGGCAGAAUGCGGUGCGCUCCAGGCGGAUGUCUACCGGGGACUGAAAGCGGCCAGCACAGGCUGGGGACACCUGGGGCCAGAGUAGGGUGCCUGGGAUGAGAGGAAAAGUUCCUGGCUUAGAGCCAAGCAGAAAUCCCAGAACUCGGAGGAAGAAGAAGGUAAAGGGCAGAACUAGUUCAAGGCCAAUCCGAUCUACACAAUAAGACCUUAUCUCAUCCUCCGCCCCCAGAGCAAACCAAAGUUCCUCCACCUGUCUUUUCCCACACCGCAAAUCAUAGUGCUGGAGACUGACUCCAGGGGGCCAUGGGUGCCAUGCAAGCACUCUUUCACUUGAGCUUUGCUCCCAGAGCUAAACUAUUCAUUCUUCUCUCCAAACUCUGCACUGCCUUUGUGAAUCUCCGUCUUGGUGCCCAGAAUGCCAUUCAUGUUUGCACGCCGUAUUUGUUUAAUACCUACGGUAUGUUAGGCACUGGGCAGUGGACUAGGGAUGCGGAAAUGAAAAUGAAGGCUCCUAUCUGAGAAGCUCUCACUCCAGCGAGUGAGGACAGAUGUCAUAAUUCUGCCUCAAGGAACUAUGGAUGUGGGUAAAAUCUGUUCCCAUCUUUGAAGCAGAGGUAGAAGCCCCACGGGGAGGGGUUGGUUAAUAAUCACAGUAAAGAGGUUGGAAUUCUGGACAAAGAAGAGACAUGGGCUAUUUUGAAUAGAGACUGGUCAGAUGGCUUAGUGGGUAAAGACACUUGCCACCGAAUCUUAUGAUCUGAGGUGGAACCCCAAAAUCGACAUGGUGGAAAGAGAGAACCAUCUACUACAAGUUGCCCUCUGCCCCCUGUGUGUGCCAUGGCACAUGCAUGUGCACACACACACACACACACACACACACACACACACACACACACACCAAAUAGAUGUAAAAUAAAGUCUUUUGAAGAGCG
ensembl:antisense Gm12454 predicted gene 12454